rnacentral:rRNA from 1 species
UACGGAGGAUCCGAGCGUUAUCCGGAUUUAUUGGGUUUAAAGGGUGCGUAGGCGGCCUGUUAAGUCAGGGGUGAAAGACGGUAGCUCAACUAUCGCAGUGCCCUUGAUACUGAUGGGCUUGAAUAUACUAGAGGUAGGCGGAAUGUGACAAGUAGCGGUGAAAUGCAUAGAUAUGUCACAGAACACCAAUUGCGAAGGCAGCUUACUAUGGUAUAAUUGACGCUGAGGCACGAAAGCGUGGGGAUCAAACAGG